ACGGGUACGGGGAUCAGGGUUCGAUUCCGGAGAGGGAGCCUGAGAAACGGCUACCACAUCCAAGGAAGGCAGCAGGCGCGCAAAUUACCCAAUCCAGACAUUGGGAGGUAGUGACGAGAAAUACUGGGGGCGCCCCAAGUGGGUGCCAUCCGGAAUGAACGUAACACAAAAAAUUCGAUGAGGAUCUACUGGAGGGCAAGUCUGGUGCCAGCAGCCGCGGUAAUUCCAGCUCCAGUAGUGUAUAUCAACAUUGUUGUGCUUAAAACGCUCGUAGUUGGAUUACAGGGCGACAAGCGCUGGUCCCGAAAGUGGGGCCAGUGUGUUUGGUGUCGCCGGGCCGGCCGCGCGUCAUAACCUGGCGUCGGUCGGGCCGCGAAGCCAAUGUCGCCCUUUUAUCGCACUGGUGCUGGGUGGUGUCUUUGCUGGCCCCGCCCAGCCACCGGUGGAGUGUGCCUUGAAUAAAGCAUAGUGCUCAAAGCCUGGCGUAAGCUCGUGUGUAAUAGCAUGGAACGAAUAAUUGCAGCCGUGGCGCGGCAGGGUCUGGCGAGAGCCGGGCAUUGUCGCGCCCCAGUUCAAUCAGUGUUGGUCUGAACAACGGUCUCAACGGUUAACAGGGACACCUGAGGGCACUAGUACUUUGUGGCGAGAGGUGAAAUUCUUAGACCCGCAAAAGACUGACUAUUGCGAAAGCAUUUGCCAAGAGUGUUUUCAUUAAUCAAGAACGAAGGUCAGAGGAUCGAAGACGAUCAGAUACCGUCCUAGUUUUGACAGCAAACUAUGCCAGCAUAGGGUUGGAGCGGUCGCUCGUACAAACGAGUCGUACUACUGCAGGCCUUAGGGGAAACCUAGCUUUCGGGCUGCUGGGAGAAUAUCGCUGCAAGGCUGAAAUUUAAAGAAAUUGACGGAGAGGCACCACCAGGAGUGGAGCCUGCGGCUUAAUUUGACUCAACACGGGGAAACUCACCAGGUCCAGACAUUGGUAGGAUUGACAGACUGGUAGAUCUUUCAUGAUUCAGUGAAUGGUGGUGCAUGGCCGUUCUUAGUUGGUGGAGUGAUCUGUCAGGUCUAUUCCGGUAACGAGCGAGACCACGGCCUUUAGUUAGCCCAGGCCGGCCCCAGCCGGGGUCGGUGUGCGGUAAAACUAGAGGGACUAUUGGCGUCUUUAAGCCAGGGGAAGCGUGGCAAUAACAGGUCUGUGAUGCCCUUCGAUGUCCUGGGCUGCACGCGCGCUACAAUGGCAGCAGUAGAGAGUAUUUUUGGCUGGCCAGAGAUGGUUGGUGAAACUGUAAAUAGCUGUCGUGAUAGGGAUUGAGCCUUGUAAUUUUUGCUCAUGAAAGAGGAAUUCCUCGUAAGCACGAGUCAUCAGCUCGUGUUGAAUACGUCUCUGCCUCUUGUACACACCGCCCGUCGCUACUACCGAUUGAAUUGCUUCUAAAGCUGGCUGGACCGGACUAGUGCCCUCGGGUACGAGCUGGGAGG
rnacentral:rRNA from 1 species